AUUUUUGUAGUUGAUUAACAACGGUGGUUUUUCGUGCCACAGGUCUCUAAGGAGCAAAAAUU
rnacentral:tRNA from 1 species